rnacentral:tRNA from 1 species
AUUAUUUUGACAGAAAAAUGUUAUAAAUUUAGAAUUUAUAAAUGUAAUAUAAGUUAUUACAAAUAAUA